AUGUCAAUCCUCGUCAUCUGGAUUGUGUGCGGAGCGUGGUUCACAGAUUCGAGUCACGGCGAUUCUGUCACUCAGUCGAUGUCCUCAGCAGUUAAGACAGAAGGUGAGACGGUGACUUUCAAUUGCACCUAUGAAACUAUAGCGGAUGACUACAAUAUAUAUUGGUAUCGGCAACGUUCAGACUCAAGGCCUGAGUUCAUACUGUUAAGAAGUACCUCAGGAUAUGAAGAUUUAGCAGAUUUUGCGAAAACUCGUUUCACUGUCGAUCUGCAGAAGGCAGGAAAAAUCACCAGUCUGACCAUCUCAUCGCUGCAACUGAGCGACUCUGCAGUUUAUUACUGCGCUUUUGAUCACACAGUGAUGGAAACCAGUUACACUCUCGUACAAAAAGUCCUGCUUCUUUGUAGAUCCCGGCUUUACCGGCUGCAGAUGGAUACAUCUGCACCCUGA